rnacentral:sRNA from 1 species
GGAGCAGGCCCUCGCGUGGCCAGGGGAGGGCGCGCGCCGCGGAGCCGGGCUGCAGGGGCUGGGGGAGGGGGUCACGAGGAAGAGGAGGGGCGCACUCCCAUUCCCAUAGACCCCUUAAGUCUAAUAAGGUCAUGGCUGGGUCUCUCAGAGUGUGGACCUGCCCCCUUCUACUCUGGGCGGUUAGAAAGUCGUUAGUCGUUCACCUCUCAGCCUUCCUGAGUGGGAACUGGUAUGUCUUCCAAAGGGUGAGGUGGCUUUGACCCCGGGUUGCCCGGCCAGCACGACCGAGGAGGUGGCUGGACAGCUGGAGGAUGAACGGAGAAGCCGACUGCCCCACAGACCUGGAAAUGGCCGCCCCCAAAGGCCAAGACCGUUGGUCCCAGGAAGACAUGCUGACUUUGCUGGAAUGCAUGAAGAACAACCUUCCAUCCAAUGACAGCUCCAAGUUCAAAACCACCGAAUCACACAUGGACUGGGAAAAAGUAGCAUUUAAAGACUUUUCUGGAGACAUGUGCAAGCUCAAAUGGGUGGAGAUUUCUAAUGAGGUGAGGAAGUUCCGUACAUUGACAGAAUUGAUCCUCGAUGCUCAGGAACAUGUUAAAAAUCCUUACAAAGGCAAAAAACUCAAGAAACACCCAGACUUCCCAAAGAAGCCCCUGACCCCUUAUUUCCGCUUCUUCAUGGAGAAGCGGGCCAAGUAUGCGAAACUCCACCCUGAGAUGAGCAACCUGGACCUAACCAAGAUUCUGUCCAAGAAAUACAAGGAGCUUCCGGAGAAGAAGAAGGUGGGGGGAGGAGAGUUAAGGUGGGAGGAGGGGAGAGGCUGGGAGCAGCUGGUGUGGUGUGGGUCAGUUGGAGGUAGGCCUUGGAGAAACCUGGCAUCAGGGAUGAGGGUGAGUCGGCACAGCAGAAUAGGUCCUGGGCAGCCACACCUGAUUGCCCCUUCCUCGGCCCACACAUGGUCAGGCACAGGCACCAUCACAGAUGUAAACCAGACAGCAGGUGCUCAGACCAACCUCUCCCCCUACAGAAAACCCACAGCAUUCUGUUUCAAGCUCUCUCUCCCCCAUACACCCAUCCUCACU